ACACUCCUACGGGAGGCAGCAGUGGGGAAUUUUGGACAAUGGGCGAAAGCCUGAUCCAGCAAUGCCGCGUGAGUGAAGAAGGCCUUCGGGUUGUAAAGCUCUUUUGUCAGGGAAGAAACGGUGAAAGCUAAUAUCUUUUGCUAAUGACGGUACCUGAAGAAUAAGCACCGGCUAACUACGUGCCAGCAGCCGCGGUAAUACGUAGGGUGCAAGCGUUAAUCGGAAUUACUGGGCGUAAAGCGUGCGCAGGCGGUUUUGUAAGUCUGAUGUGAAAUCCCCGGGCUCAACCUGGGAAUUGCAUUGGAGACUGCAAGGCUAGAAUCUGGCAGAGGGGGGUAGAAUUCCACGUGUAGCAGUGAAAUGCGUAGAUAUGUGGAGGAACACCGAUGGCGAAGGCAGCCCCCUGGGUCAAGAUUGACGCUCAUGCACGAAAGCGUGGGGAGCAAACAGGAUUAGAAACCCGUGUAGUCCC
rnacentral:rRNA from 1 species